GGAUGAUUUCCCAUCACAUGUUCUUCGUUGCAUGGACAGCGGUACCAUGGACAGCUAAACGGGAAAUCGAUAUUGCUAACAAGGACACAAACAAAUGGUCCGGGACUCCACUGUUAAAUCUGCAGAGCAAAGAUAGGACCUGUCACACUCACAUGAUGCAAAGUUAAAAUGAUAUUCACCAUGUGAUGUACAAAAUACAAAGACGUGGCAACAGUGACAAUAGCAGAUGGUGGUGGAUGGGCAGUUUUUAAUCAACAAAAAAAUUAACAAAUCUAACUAUUUCUAAUAAAUCAUUUAGUCAAGAGGGACAUUUCAAAGCAAAAUGAUAUUCAUCUUCUGAUGUUAUGAUAGCCAUUUCCUGUGAAUGCGCUACAGUCGUAAACAAUGCACAUAUGAGUCAUGUAUAUUGUCAGAUUAAAGCUAAAUUAGUGAAAAAGUAUUACCAAUACCGGAGUAAACCCUCCAUGUUCAAGUUUAUACAACUACAUGUAUUAAGUGUGAACAAUGUUAAAGAACUUUGUAACUUGGGAAAAUUUAUUUGUGAAGCUUGUGAACUAAGAACAGUCUAUAAUAUGUAAUUUGUAUCGUCAUUCUCCUUUUUUACUAUCAUUAUACUAUUGUAUUGACAUCUGCUAGAUGUCUUUGUAAGAAUUGGCCGUUUAUUUUCAGCCUUGUAAUUAUUACCCAUGAUCAAUUUUGUUAUAAUGCUAUAAGAUGUACGUUUUUCGCAAUAAAGAAUUAUGGAAUCUUGAUAAAUAACAAUUAUAAUGUACGUCUAGGUUUUGUAAUGCUGAGUACGGCUGAACUUCCGACAGAAAAAUUUCUAUAAGAAAUGAAUUAAUUCUAGAAAACACAUAACGAGCUUCUUGAAGUAUGCCGAUGUGAGGAUUAGCGGUUCAUGCGCACUUGUACAUUUGUAUUUUCAUAAAUGAAAUCUAUUUCUUAUAAAUUCAUAAAACAUAUUAUCAAUUUGGUACAUAUUACGCUUUUUGUAAACUACUUUGCACUUUAUAAGCAUACUCUGCUGUAAAUUAUGUCAUAGCCUAAAAAUGAAUUUUGCCAUCAAAUUCAUUUAUAAAAGUAGAUAAAGCAUAUACAUUAUAAACAUAUAUACUAUGUUUCUAGGAAUGAAUAUCUACUAAGAUUGCAUAUUAUGGCGGACCAUAGGAGGCGUACUUUAUACAAAUCGGUAAAGAAGUUGUCCUAUGUUUCCCUCUUUUCUUUAAAAUCCCCAUUAUACCAACAACUUUCUCAUUCAUUCCUUAUACUUAUAAUUCUUGAUAUUAAAAAAAUGGUUGUUGUGUUGUUGUUUUUAAGUAUAGACCUUGACAGAAACAAUGCAAAAAAAAAUAAAUGUUUAAACACACAAAAACAAUGGCUAAUCUUUGUAUUUUAUCAAUUUUCUUGUAUUACAUGGUUACAACUACGGACAUGAAAAUUAUCAGGUCACAACAAAUAAUUAUUUAGAAAUAAUGUAAAAUCAUUGUUUUUAUGGAAUGGACAAAUCCACAAAAAGCAGGGGAAACUGAAAUACAAAGAUAAAAGAAUUACUCUCAACGUCCCAGUCUAGGGCUGAAACGAUACGCCCCCUUCAUGAUGCGAUACAUAUCGCAAUGAUUAUGCAGCGAUUCAAUAUUUUCAAUACGAUACAAUGUACAGAAGAAACCAAUAAUAACAUUGAAGAAAAAUUAAUUACCAACAUUCAUAAUCAUAAUUCUAAAAGCAAAAUGUUUCCAAACUGCCAAACGGUAAGAUGCCUGUUGGCUCUGUACUCUGCAGUUUAAACCGAUAAAGUUCAUUAUUGUUUUCGUCAAACUCAAGGCAAACAUCAGUCUGAAUGUUAUUGGACUCUAUGUUGUCCCUCAUGCAGGUAUGUUAGAUAAUAUUAAAGUACAGACCUGUCAAGUCUGAUGUAUUUUUUUUCUUUCUGAACGUGUUUGUAAUAAACGUAUCGAAAAUCAAGGCAAUAAAUCAAACAUUGAAUUGAGCAUUUAUAUUGAACAGUAUCGAUAUUUCGGUGAAUCGUUUCAGCCCUACGUCCCACCAACAUGCUUAUUUUUCUCAAAUCACGAAAAUUUGACAUUAGAAAAAUAAGUAUUCCUACAAUUAUAAAACGUUGAACAACUGUUGAAUAACCGAUCCCCGAAUUGAUGAAUUUCAUUUUACAGUGUGCAUUUUCAACAACAGAAAUGCUUUCAAAGUGUCUUUUAUCUAAUAAAGAAUUUUCCAAAAUCAUUUUUUUGCAAUACAAGCAGCAAUGUAAAAGUACAUGUGUAACUAAUCAGAAACAACGAUGUCAGUUCUUCAGCACAUUCAUACCUCUAUAUGGAGAUAAAUGAGAUUUCUCAUAUUAUCCAAUGGUAAAAAAACUACUAUAAAAACAUUUACAGAAUCACGUGGUUUAUUUAGAUAUCUAAUUAUAUUUUUUUAACAAUGUCGUUCGGCUCGAAUAGCCACAGUAUAGAUACAUGUAUAUUAAUUGUAUAUAUUGGCAGUAAUUCGUGAUCUUCGCGAACGUGUAAUUUCAUAUGACAAAGUUGUGCUAUAUAUUCGUCUUCAAACGUUCUUAAAAUUUAUAUCUCAGAUAAUAUCAAAGUCUGUUAAAUGGGAUAUACCGUAAUACACCGACGUUUUACUCGUCCUUCUCGCCAGGGAUAACGAGGUACUUUUUCACCAGGAGAUUUGAGAUAUUGAUUUUUGAUUCACGGAAUCAACAAAAAGCUUUUCAAUGCACAACUCAAAGAAACAUUUGAUAAAAUUUAAACAUUUCCCAAAGUUCUGUUCCCAGCCUACAUAUAUCGAAUCACUUGUGCUUUAUGUUUUCAGUUCGACGGUUUUUUUUUUUUUUUUUUGGUUUUUUUUAUUUGGUGUUCUUUUUCCAGUCUGUUUUCCUUAAACAAAAAUAUACGAACUAACUUCAUCUGAUUACGGGCUGUAUAAAAACCAGAAACGGACAAAGGGCAUCUGUUUUACCGAUGCUUCAUCUCUUUUGUAAGUGUAUUAUCUGAAACAUCUGUGGGAUUCUUUUGUAAGAAAGGGGUUUAUAAAUUACAAUCAGUAUGUUACACAAAUCAAUUGAUUCAUAGAUAUACCGAAUAUAAUUUCGUUUGAAAAAUACGCAUUUGUAACUUUCAAGAAGUAUGUUUAUUUUUAAUUAAUAAUAUACCCUAUUAUUAAUUAAUAAUGAAAUUAAUUAAUAAUAUACCUUAGAGGUUUGGUUUUCUGUGGUCAUAUCAGAAGCAUUUCACAUGGGAUGGUGCACAACUUUCUUACAUUGUAAUAUAUUUCAUUCGCUUUUCCCCCAUUCUCUCUUUAUUACUGUGAAAAUACAUGUACAAUGUAAAUUCAAUAAGGAUUUUACAAGGGCUGAGCUGAUUCUAAUUCAUUGUUGUUUAUACCCUCCCCCCCCUCUCUCUCUCUCUCUC